rnacentral:lncRNA from 1 species
CAACUACAAGUUCUCACCAAAACAUGUUUUUGUGUAAUAAUAAAGCUAAAACAACUUUUUACGUGGUGUUUCAGCAGUAAAUGAAUCAUUGUGAGAGAUGGAACGGUGCUAGCCAGGCGCAUCUUCAAGACGUCCUAGCUCUCUGAGAACGAUGCCAAUCCGGAGUCACAAUAUACCGGCAUUCCCAUGCACACCACAGCGCAGCAGUGCCAGAUUCCCCUCUAGGUAAAAUAAUGAGAAACUCUA